rnacentral:misc_RNA from 1 species
AAGUCGUAACAAGGUUUCCGUAGGUGAACCUGCGGAAGGAUCAUUAACACAAAAACAAUCCCAUAUCCACCCCUUUUUUAUAACGAACUCUGGUUUUACCAAAAUACCAUUGUCUCUUCUUUAUCCAACUUUUAUUUUUACCCCAACUUCUUAUAACCAAAAUGCAAUAGACUGAUAUUUAUUUAUCUUUAUAAUCUUUAUAAAUGAUAUUUAAAACAACUCUUAGCAACGGAUAUCUUGGCUCUC